CAAACUUGUCUUAGUAUUACUUACAGAAAUAAUACAAACCUAACAAAUAAUUUACAGAUGUGGCCACUCCUUCGCUUCGUUAUCCCUUCACCAUUUAACAAAUAAUUUCUUCAGUUCUUCUCUCUUUCUCUUUCGCGUUUUCUACAUCUCUCUUAAAACUUCCACUUUUUCUCUAAUGGUACAACGAAAACUGGAUACAUCCAUUCAUGUUUUUCUGAUACAUCACCUCUCGGUCAAAUCGUGAAACUUAAGACUUUUCUAAGGCGUCACCAUCUCAAUCGUUGCACAGGAAAAAUACAUUAGCUUAUCAGCUUCAACUCUAUCUCCAGAUUAGUCUCCCAGAAAGAGCCUGUAUACCUUUGAUGGCAAGUCUCAACAUCGAAACUACUGACGUGGUUUCCUCUCUCUAUCGUCUCUCAUCGGAUUGGUGCCUCUGUUUCUCUGAAAAUCCCUUGUCGAUGGCUCCAUUCUGGUUCUAAGCGCUACUUCUCUCACCACCGUAGAUCGAUCUAUCGAUGAACUUUGCUUCUGGUCGGAUACCCACUUUAUCGAGCCUUGGUUCUUGCAUCGGACUGAAAUUUCAGGUGGGCUGAAUCUUAACGACUUGGGAGUUUAGGAUCUCGCGCAUAACAACAUUAUGACUGAAACACCAACAAAAUGCAGAAUAUGUGAGAGUGUCUAAGUGUUGGUAACGUGUCACCUCAGGGAUCCAUAUUAUCUUGCCGCUCAUUUUUCUUUAAAAUAAGUUUUGAAAUUUCGAGUUUCUGAUUUGUAAGUUGGAUAAAUUCUUUAUUUCAAAAGAUACGAUAUUUGUAAAAGUUUAAAAGUUGGUAUGCUAUCCAUGCUACGAUGCAUACAGUGUGGAGAUAACACAAUGGUAGAAGACACGGGGGAACAACCGAAAGAUAUCAACUGUUUGGUCAGAUUUGUGGAUAGGACAAUAAGACUCAAGUCCCUUUCUGUGAAAGGGAGGGAGGGGCCAGCAGUACCUUGAGGAAGUGUUAAUCACUUGGUUUGGGGUCCAAGAAAAUGGAAGAGCUGAAAGUGCAGGAUAAUUCUUUUAUUGAGAACAGAUUUUUGAUGCUGUAAAUAAAUAGAAGCACAGUUCAACUUGAUGUGAAA